rnacentral:siRNA from 1 species
AUCGAGUAGGAGGGGCGAGUAGAU